UGAAACCAGAUAUGACUUAGUGGCGGACGGGUGAGUAACACGUGAGCAACCUGCCUUUCAGAGGGGGAUAACGGCUGGAAACGGUCGCUAAUACCGCAUGAUACAUUUGGGUGGCAUCAUCUGAAUGUCAAAGAUUUAUCGCUGAAAGAUGGGCUCGCGUCUGAUUAGCUGGUUGGCGGGGUAACGGCCCACCAAGGCGACGAUCAGUAGCCGGACUGAGAGGUUGAACGGCCACAUUGGGACUGAGAUACGGCCCAGACUCC
rnacentral:rRNA from 1 species